GUAUGGAUGAAGAUGUCACUGCUGGUCUUGAGGCCUUUUCCCGUAUUGCUUCAGCAGUUCCUAUAAUUUCCAAUGCGAUAGUUACUGAUAGUAUUUUCGGAGUGCUUACAUCAUCAACAGGCGGUCGACUUCUAUUCUCAGUCUAUGACAAGUACUUGACCUAUUUGGAAAGGGCAAUUAAAAAAUUUAAGAACCAGUCUGAGUCAUCCCAUCUGUCUGCCUUACGUACAACAAGAGGGGAGAAAAUUCUGGAGCUAGAUGGGACAGUGACAACCCAGCCAGUGCUUGAACAUGUGGGAAUUUCAGCAUGGCCUGGUCGGCUAACUUUGACGGAUCAUGCUCUCUACUUUGAGGCACAUCGUGUUGUAUCUU
rnacentral:misc_RNA from 1 species